AUGGACAUGGACAGCGUGGAGUGCCUCUCCCUCCCGGACGCCUCCAUGGACGUAGACGACGUCGACAGCCACCAGCACCAGCACCACCACCACAGCAUCCCGAUCCAUCCCGUGCACCUCGCCGCUAACGGGGGCGUCGGAGGACGCGCGUUCGCGAAGAUGAACGCCGGGGGCGCGGCCGGGGCCGGGGGAGUGGGUGCUACCGCGGGCGCCACCGGCGGGCCACCGGCGACCAGCGUACACGAAUUGCUCGAGUGUCCUGUCUGCACCAACUCCAUGUUCCCGCCCAUCCACCAGUGCCAAAAUGGACAUACUUUAUGUUCGACAUGCAAGGCUAGGGUGCACAACCGUUGCCCUACGUGCAGACAAGAGCUUGGCGACAUCAGGUGCUUAGCAUUGGAAAAAGUAGCAGAAUCACUAGAGCUUCCCUGUAAGUACUGCUCUUUAGGUUGUCCAGAAAUCUUCCCAUACUACAGCAAGAUAAAACAUGAAGGGCAGUGCAGCUUCAGGCCAUAUAACUGCCCCUAUGCUGGUUCUGAAUGUGCUGUGGCUGGUGAUAUACCUUUCCUUGUUGCACAUUUGAGGGAUGAUCACAAAGUCGAUAUGCACAGCGGUUGCACGUUCAACCAUAGAUAUGUCAAGUCCAAUCCACGAGAGGUUGAAAAUGCCACCUGGAUGCUAACAGUGUUCCAUUGUUUUGGACAAUACUUCUGCCUGCACUUUGAGGCCUUCCAGCUCGGCAUGGCACCAGUAUACAUGGCUUUCCUUCGUUUCAUGGGGGACGAGAACGAAGCAAGGAACUACACCUACAGCCUCGAGGUUGGUGGUAACGGUAGGAAGAUGGUAUGGGAGGGCACCCCUAGAAGCAUUCGUGACAGUCACCGGAAGGUUCGGGACAGUCAUGAUGGCCUCAUCAUCCAGAGGAACAUGGCGCUGUUCUUCUCCGGCGGUGACAGGAAGGAGCUGAAGCUGAGGGUGACUGGACGGAUCUGGAAAGAGCAGCCCAAUCUGGAGGGAACCUGUAUACCCAACCUUUGUAGCUGA
rnacentral:rRNA from 1 species